rnacentral:tRNA from 1 species
GGAGAGAUGGCUGAGAGGCCGAAAGCGCCUCAUUGCUAAUGAGGUGAGUGGGUAACCGCUCCGGGGGUUCGAAUCCCCCUCUCUCCG